GCAGCUGUGGCCGAGUGGUUAAGGCGAUGGACUUGAAAUCCAUUGGGGUCUCCCCGCGUAGGUUCGAAUCCUGACCGGCUGCG